UUCAAGCCCGGCGCUCCUGGGGGGCCAGGUAGACCCUGGCGCCCGGGUUCCCCUUUCUCUCCCGGCGGGCCCACCGGCCCCGGCGGACCUGGUUCCCCCGGGGGCCCCCGAGGCCCGGCUUUACCCGGACGGCCGGCCUCACCUUUGGGGCCUUGGAUGAAGGUCAUACAAUACAUUUUCAGCAGUUCCAUUAGAGAUUCAGCUCUCAGUCAAACUAUUCCUGCAGGUUUGAGACAGAUGCUACAAGUUUUUCAAAUUCCGUUAUUACCAAGAGUCUACAACUACUAUUUCUACUGCGAUAAUUUGUGUACAUGUGGGAGCAAGACGGGCAAAUGAGUAAAUGUGUAUUAUGACCUUACAUUGCAAAUCAUAUGAUUUAUGGACUCCUGGAAGAAAAAAUGGUGAAUCCGCUCUGUUAAAAGUAGAGCCAAGGAUUAUGGUCUACUAAAUUUCUACAGAAGAUAGAAUUGGAUACCUUAAAUUAGAACUCCAUCGUCAGAGAUCAAAACUGCCUGUUUAUUGUUUAGAAGAUCAUAGACUAUGAUUUCUUUGACAAGACCUACUUUUGAACAGACUUUACAUAUUCUAUCCUACAGCUGGUGCAGAGUGCAGUGGUAUGGAUAGUUUUGGGGACCUCAAGAAUGACCCCUGUGACAUUACUGCUCGGCGAGCUGCACUGGUUAUCAGUUUGCUUUUGGGUUCAAUUCAAGCUGUUGAUGAUCACCUUUAAAGCCCUUCAUGCUACAAGUUACUUGAGGGACCAUCUCGUCUCAUUGGGAUUGACCCCUACCACUCAUGCUGGCAGAGGAGGCAUGCUGUGGGUCCUGUCAGCUCAAUUAUUCUGGCUAGCAAAGUCAUGGAGGAGGGCCUUUCCUGCUGUUGCUCCUGCCCUCUGGAACAUCUUGCCCCCCAAUGUGACAAUGUGGGUUGGGGCUCCAGUGGGGGAUCAGCGCAGUGGAGGUCGUUGAUUGAGUAAUAACAGAUCCCGCCUUUCCCCACCCUUCCCCAUGUGUUUUUAGUUUUAAUGUUUGUUUUUAACUUUUUGUUUUAGAUUUCAUGUAACUGUAAGUCUCACAGAGUUAUCCUGUGGUAAAUUUUAUAAAUGAAUAAAUACAUAAAUAAUCCUCUUUC